CUUGAAAAUCGGAUGGGAACUUUUCGGUCCCGAUGGAGCUCAGAUUGAAAAGGAUUAAAGUUUUCAAGUUGGCAAAGCAGAGUUGAACUCAGGAGGCGCUCAAACGAAUGCCGUCCCCUGAAACUAACCACAGUGAAGAGGCCAAAGUGAGUCAAGUGUGGUGGGAGAGUUUCAUGCUCACUGGCACGCUGGACAAGAUCGUUGGCAGCCAAUUGUUCAUGAGGGCUUGGAUGCAGUGAACCCGUUAAAUGAGGACCAAGGAGGACAUUCAGGGUAGACCAGCGCUACUGAAAUUAUUCAUCCUUUUCCCAGUUCUGGGAACGCCGCCAUGUUGGUCCCCCGGUGCAGCAGUGGAAGCCAACCAAA